rnacentral:rRNA from 1 species
AUUUGAAAUCUGGCGCAAGCCCGAGUUGUAAUUUGUAGAGGAUGUUUCUGGCGACGUGCCUUCCGAGUUCCCUGGAACGGGACGCCAUAGAGGGUGAGAGCCCCGUACGGUUGGAUGCCUAGCCUCUGUGAAACUCCUUCGACGAGUCGAGUAGUUUGGGAAUGCUGCUCUAAAUGGGAGGUAUACGUCUUCUAAAGCUAAAUACCGGCCAGAGACCGAUAGCGCACAAGUAGAGUGAUCGAAAGAUGAAAAGCACUUUGAAAAGAGGGUUAAAAAGUACGUGAAAUUGUUGAAAGGGAAGCGUUCAUGACCAGACUUGGGCAGGUUGAUCAUCCGUGGUUCUCCGCGGUGCACUCUGCCUGCCCAGGCCAGCAUCAGUUCGCCCCGGGGGAUAAAGGCUUUGGGAAUGUGGCUCCCUCGGGAGUGUUAUAGCCCACUGUGUAAUACCCUGGGGUGGACUGAGGUUCGCGCUCUGCAAGGAUGCUGGCGUAAUGGUCAUCAACGACCCGUCUUGAAACACGGACCAAGGAGUCGUCUUCNUAUGCGAGUGUUCGGGUGUCANACCCCUACGCGUAAUGAAAGUGAACGUAGGAGAGAGCUUCGGCGCAUCUCCGACCGAUCCUGAUGUUCUCGGAUGGAUUUGAGUAAGAGCAUACGGGGCCGGAC